ACCAGACUUGCCCUCCAAUAGAUCCUCGUUAAAGGAUUUAAAUUGUACCCAUUCCGAUGACAGACCUCGAAGAGGACUGUCUCGUUAUUUUUCGUCACUACCUCUCCGUUCUGGAAGUGGGUAAUUUGCGCGCCUGCUGCCUUCCUUGGAUGUGGUAGCCGUUUCUCAGGCUCCCUCUCCGGAGUCGAACCCUUAUUCUCCGUUACCCGUUACUACCAUGGUAGGCGUAUAACCUACCAUCGAAAGUUGAUAAGGCAGACACUUGAAAGAUACAUCGCCAGUACUAGGACUGUGCGAUUGGCAAAGUUAUUCAGAUUCACCAAAUUACGGGCCGAAACCCGAUUGGUUUUUAUUCUAAUAAAUGCGCUCGUUCCUUGCGGGCGGAGCUUUUUUGCAUGUAUUAGCUCUAGAAUUGCCACAGUUAUCCAAGUAGGAUAACUAUAUUCUAGUAAACGGUGGCUGUUGUAAUGAGCUAUUCGCGGCUUCACCGUAUUAAGGCAUGUGCUUAGACAUGCAUGGCUUAAUCUUUGAGACAAGCAUAUGACUACUGGCAGGAUCAACCAGA
rnacentral:rRNA from 1 species